rnacentral:rRNA from 1 species
AUGUGUACGACUACGCGGAUUCGCCAAGUACCACGACAUCCGGAGCCCCUUGGAAACGUCAAGUUCAACUACCAUCGCAAGACCGAGACUGACAAGUCCGGAGACCCCAAGUACCACGACAACCCCGAAGGGUUUCAAGUCCGUCAAGCUCCUCUACCGAUGACUCGAACGGCUACGAAAUGUGCACCAUUACCGUUGACCCCCGAAGGACUUGGAUUUGUCAAGUUCCCCUCUGAACCGGGAACCACUACUUUCGCUAACAUCGAAAUCGAACCGUCCGGAAAUGCACACUUCAAAGGUAUAACGUCGAGACGACCGCCGUGA